rnacentral:rRNA from 1 species
UACGUAGGGUGCAAGCGUUGUCCGGAAUUAUUGGGCGUAAAGAGCUCGUAGGCGGUCUGUCGCGUCGGCUGUGAAAACCCGGAGCUCAACUCCGGGCCUGCAGUCGAUACGGGCAAACUGGAGUGUUGCAGGGGAGACUGGAAUUCCUGGGUGUAGCGGGUGAAAUGCGCAGAUAUCAGGAGGAACACCGGUGGCGAAGGCGGUCUCUGGCAACAACGUGACGCUGGAGGAGCGAAGCGUGGAGCGAACAGGA